rnacentral:rRNA from 1 species
GACGAACGCUGGCGGCGUGCCUAAUACAUGCAAGUCGAACGCUUCUUUCCUCCCGAGUGCUUGCACUCAAUUGGAAAGAGGAGUGGCGGACGGGUGAGUAACACGUGGGUAACCUACCCAUCAGAGGGGGAUGACACUUGGAAACAGGUGCUAAUACCGCAUAACAGUUUAUGCCGCAUGGCAUAAGAGUGAAAGGCGCUUUCGGGUGUCGCUGAUGGAUGGACCCGCGGUGCAUUAGCUAGUUGGUGAGGUAACGGCUCACCAAGGCCACGAUGCAUAGCCGACCUGAGAGGGUGAUCGGCCACACCGGGACUGAGACACGGCCCAGACUCCUACGGGAGGCAGCAGUAGGGAAUCUUCGGCAAUGGACGAAAGUCUGACCGAGCAACGCCGCGUGAGUGAAGAAGGUUUUCGGAUCGUAAAACUCUGUUGUUAGAGAAGAACAAGGACGUUAGUAACUGAACGUCCCCUGACGGUAUCUAACCAGAAAGCCACGGCUAACUACGUG